AUCCAUCUGACGAGUCACAAAUAGGACAAAGCAUGCGUCCUGGAU
rnacentral:hammerhead_ribozyme from 1 species